CCUACGUGGCGCAGCAGUGAGGAAUAUUGGUCAAUGGGCGGAAGCCUGAACCAGCCAAGUAGCGUGCAGGAUGACGGCCCUACGGGUUGUAAACUGCUUUUAUACGGGAAAAACGCGCCUUACGUGUAGGGCUUUGCAUGUACCGUAUGUAUCAGGACCGGCUAGUUCCGUGCCAGCAGCCGCGGUAAUCCGGUAGGUCCGGGCGUUAUCCGGAUUUAUUGGGUUUAAAGGGAGCGUAGGCCGCAUGUUAAGCGUGCUGUGAAAUGUCCGGGCUCAACCCGGGCCUUGCAGCGCGAACUGGCGUGCUUGAGUCCGCGGAAAGCAGGCGGAAUUCGUCGUGUAGCGGUGAAAUGCUUAGAUAUGACGAAGAACCCCGAUUGCGAAGGCAGCUUGCUGCAGCGGAACUGACGCUGAUGCUCGAAAGCGCGGGUAUCGAACAGGAUUAGAUACCCGUGUAGUC
rnacentral:rRNA from 1 species